UACAGAGGGGGCAAGCGUUAUUCGGAAUUAUUGGGCGUAAAGGGCGCGUAGGCGGCUUGGCAAGUGGAUGGUGAAAUCCCUCGGCUUAACCGAGGAACUGCCGUCCAAACUGCUUCGCUUGAGACCGGGAGAGGUGAGUGGAAUUCCCAGUGUAGCGGUGAAAUGCGUAGAUAUUGGGAGGAACACCAGUGGCGAAGGCGGCUCACUGGACCGGUACUGACACUGAGGCGCGAAAGCGUGGGGAGCGAACAGG
rnacentral:rRNA from 1 species